GGCCCUUAUGCUGAGAUGUUUGCAAAUGAAAUUGGUUACACAAUUCAAAACUACGUCCCACUGAAUGUGGAAAAAUGGAAGAAGAUUGAAAAAGCAGAUGUGGAGAACUUGAUCAAAAGAACCCAAAAUAAGUUUGAAUUUGACAUGUCGCUCCCUUGGGUCCAGAGAUAUGUAAUCAUAACAUGAAGCUGUCAAGACUCAGGAAGAAUGGGAGUUUCUUUGCACUCAUUUUUCUAGUGAAAAGUUUAAGAUUCGCUCAAAGAAGAAUGUUCUUAAUAGGUCAAAGUUGACAUAUCACCACAAAGCUGGGUCAAAAUCAUUUAUGUCACACCAAAAGCAAAUUGCAGCACAGACUGGAGAGAUGCAAGGUUCAAUUGAUCGUUUUGAAACAGAGUAUAGAAGCACAAAAAAAUGAUGGGACUUGGGAGAAAAGAAAAAUGGGAUCAAAUGAUAAAGAUGCGAGCAAAUACCGCUCAACCUGAUGGAACUCGAACAAUGACAGAGGAGGAAAUUUGUGCAAAAGUUUUCAGUCA